rnacentral:rRNA from 1 species
GGGGUAUAGUUCUUCGGAACUAGAGACCGGCGCACGGGUGCGUAACGCGUAUGCAAUCUACCUUUCACAAAGGGAUAGCCCAGAGAAAUUUGGAUUAAUACCUUAUAGUAAUACGACUUGGCAUCAAGAUGUAUUUAAAGAUUUAUCGGUGAAAGAUGAGCAUGCGUCCCAUUAGCUUGUUGGUAGGGUAACGGCUUACCAAGGCAACGAUGGGUAGGGGUCCUGAGAGGGAGAUCCCCCACACUGGUACUGAGACACGGACCAGACUCCUACGGGAGGCAGCAGUGAGGAAUAUUGGACAAUGGGCGCAAGCCUGAUCCAGCCAUGCCGCGUGCAGGAUGACGGUCCUAUGGAUUGUAAACUGCUUUUGUACAGGAAGAAACCCUUUCACGUGUGGAAGAUUGACGGUACUGUAAGAAUAA